UACACUCCUGCGGGAGGCAGCAGUGGGGAAUUUUGGACAAUGGGCGCAAGCCUGAUCCAGCCAUGCCGCGUGCGGGAAGAAGGCCUUCGGGUUGUAAACCGCUUUUGUCAGGGAAGAAAAGGUUCUGGCUAAUACCUGGGACUCAUGACGGUACCUGAAGAAUAAGCACCGGCUAACUACGUGCCAGCAGCCGCGGUAAUACGUAGGGUGCAAGCGUUAAUCGGAAUUACUGGGCGUAAAGCGUGCGCAGGCGGUUAUGCAAGACAGAGGUGAAAUCCCCGGGCUCAACCUGGGAACUGCCUUUGUGACUGCAUGGCUAGAGUACGGUAGAGGGGGAUGGAAUUCCGCGUGUAGCAGUGAAAUGCGUAGAUAUGCGGAGGAACACCGAUGGCGAAGGCAAUCCCCUGGACCUGUACUGACGCUCAUGCACGAAAGCGUGGGGAGCAAACAGGAUUAGAUACCCGAGUAGUCCCAUGA
rnacentral:rRNA from 1 species